GGGCACCACAACGUCCUUGUGGGACUUAGUAUUUUUUAGAUUUGUAGUUAGUAUUUUCGAAACUUUUAUUAUACUAUUUUUUGUACACUUAACAAUUUUAUUCUAUUUUAUAUUAUUAAUUAUUGAUUUUAUUUUAUAUUAUUUAAUUUUAAGUGAUCGGAUAUUAUGCUUUGUGGAUAUGAAUACACAUACUCUCAUGU
rnacentral:lncRNA from 1 species